rnacentral:ncRNA from 1 species
CAGGCUGAUCUUUCCCCAAGAGCUCACAUCGACAGGAAGGUUUGGCACCUCGAUGUUGGCUCUUCGCCACCUGGGGCUGUAGUAUGUUCCAAGGGUUGGGCUGUUCGCCCAUUAAAGCAUUCAGAACGUCGUUCUUUUGUUUUUGGAAUUG